rnacentral:lncRNA from 1 species
CCUGGGCUGAGACAUACAGGACAGAGCAUGGAUCGCCUACAGACUGCACUCCUGGUUGUCCUCGUCCUCCUUGCUGUGGCGCUUCAAGCAACUGAGGCCCCUACGGCGCCAACAUGGAAGACAGCGUCUGCUGCCGUGAUUACGUCCGUUACCGUCUGCCCCUGCGCGUGGUGAAACACUUCUACUGGACCUCAGACUCCUGCCCGAGGCCUGGCGUGGUGUUGCUAACCUUCAGGGAUAAGGAGAUCUGUGCCGAUCCCAGAGUGCCCUGGGUGAAGAUGAUUCUCAAUAAGCUGAGCCAAUGAAGAGCCUACUCUGAUGACCGUGGCCUUGGCUCCUCCAGGAAGGCUCAGGAGCCCUACCUCCCUGCCAUUAUAGCUGCUCCCCGCCAGAAGCCUGUGCCAACUCUCUGCAUUCCCUGAUCUCCAUCCCUGUGGCUGUCACCCUUGGUCACCUCCGUGCUGUCACUGCCAUCUCCCCCCUGACCCCUCUAACCCAUCCUCUGCCUCCCUCCCUGCAGUCAGAGGGUCCUGUUCCCAUCAGCGAUUCCCCUGCUUAAACCCUUCCAUGACUCCCCACUGCCCUAAGCUGAGGUCAGUCUCCCAAGCCUGGCAUGUGGCCCUCUGGAUCUGGGUUCCAUCUCUGUCUCCAGCCUGCCCACUUCCCUUCAUGAAUGUUGGGUUCUAGCUCCCUGUUCUCCAAACCCAUACUACACAUCCCACUUCUGGGUCUUUGCCUGGGAUGUUGCUGACACCCAGAAAGUCCCACCACCUGCACAUGUGUAGCCCCACCAGCCCUCCAAGGCAUUGCUCGCCCAAGCAGCUGGUAAUUCCAUUUCAUGUAUUAGAUGUCCCCUGGCCCUCUGUCCCCUCUUAAUAACCCUAGUCACAGUCUCCGCAGAUUCUUGGGAUUUGGGGGUUUUCUCCCCCACCUCUCCACUAGUUGGACCAAGGUUUCUAGCUAAGUUACUCUAGUCUCCAAGCCUCUAGCAUAGAGCACUGCAGACAGGCCCUGGCUCAGAAUCAGAGCCCAGAAAGUGGCUGCAGACAAAAUCAAUAAAACUAAUGUCCCUCCCCUCUCCCUGCCAAAAGGCAGUUACAUAUCAAUACAGAGACUCAAGGUCACUAGAAAUGGGCCAGCUGGGUCAAUGUGAAGCCCCAAAUUUGCCCAGAUUCACCUUUCUUCCCCCACUCCCUUUUUUUUUUUUUUUUUGAGAUGGAGUUUCGCUCUUGUCACCCACGCUGGAGUGCAAUGGUGUGGUCUUGGCUUAUUGAAGCCUCUGCCUCCUGGGUUCAAGUGAUUCUCUUGCCUCAGCCUCCUGAGUAGCUGGGAUUACAGGUUCCUGCUACCACGCCCAGCUAAUUUUUGUAUUUUUAGUAGAGACGAGGCUUCACCAUGUUGGCCAGGCUGGUCUCGAACUCCUGUCCUCAGGUAAUCCGCCCACCUCAGCCUCCCAAAGUGCUGGGAUUACAGGCGUGAGCCACAGUGCCUGGCCUCUUCCCUCUCCCCACCCCCCCCCCAACUUUUUUUUUUUUUUAUGGCAGGGUCUCACUCUGUCGCCCAGGCUGGAGUGCAGUGGCGUGAUCUCGGCUCACUACAACCUCGACCUCCUGGGUUCAAGCGAUUCUCCCACCCCAGCCUCCCAAGUAGCUGGGAUUACAGGUGUGUGCCACUACGGCUGGCUAAUUUUUGUAUUUUUAGUAGAGACAGGUUUCACCAUAUUGGCCAGGCUGGUCUUGAACUCCUGACCUCAAGUGAUCCACCUUCCUUGUGCUCCCAAAGUGCUGAGAUUACAGGCGUGAGCUAUCACACCCAGCCUCCCCCUUUUUUUCCUAAUAGGAGACUCCUGUACCUUUCUUCGUUUUACCUAUGUGUCGUGUCUGCUUACAUUUCCUUCUCCCCUCAGGCUUUUUUUGGGUGGUCCUCCAACCUCCAAUACCCAGGCCUGGCCUCUUCAGAGUACCCCCCAUUCCACUUUCCCUGCCUCCUUCCUUAAAUAGCUGACAAUCAAAUUCAUGCUAUGGUGUGAAAGACUACCUUUGACUUGGUAUUAUAAGCUGGAGUUAUAUAUGUAUUUGAAAACAGAGUAAAUACUUAAGAGGCCAAAUAGAUGAAUGGAAGAAUUUUAGGAACUGUGAGAGGGGGACAAGGUGGAGCUUUCCUGGCCCUGGGAGGAAGCUGGCUGUGGUAGCGUAGCGCUCUCUCUCUCUGUCUGUGGCAGGAGGCAAAGAGUAGGGUGUAAUUGAGUGAAGGAAUCCUGGGUAGAGACCAUUCUCAGGUGGUUGGGCCAGGCUAAAGACUGGGAUUUGGGUCUAUCUAUGCCUUUCUGGCUGAUUUUUGUAGAGACGGGGUUUUGCCAUGUUACCCAGGCUGGUCUCAAACUCCUGGGCUCAAGCGAUCCUCCUGGCUCAGCCUCCCAAAGUGCUGGGAUUACAGGCGUGAGUCACUGCGCCUGGCUUCCUCUUCCUCUUGAGAAAUAUUCUUUUCAUACAGCAAGUAUGGGACAGCAGUGUCCCAGGUAAAGGACAUAAAUGUUACAAGUGUCUGGUCCUUUCUGAGGGAGGCUGGUGCCGCUCUGCAGGGUAUUUGAACCUGUGGAAUUGGAGGAGGCCAUUUCACUCCCUGAACCCAGCCUGACAAAUCACAGUGAGAAUGUUCACCUUAUAGGCUUGCUGUGGGGCUCAGGUUGAAAGUGUGGGGAGUGACACUGCCUAGGCAUCCAGCUCAGUGUCAUCCAGGGCCUGUGUCCCUCCCGAACCCAGGGUCAACCUGCCUACCACAGGCACUAGAAGGACGAAUCUGCCUACUGCCCAUGAACGGGGCCCUCAAGCGUCCUGGGAUCUCCUUCUCCCUCCUGUCCUGUCCUUGCCCCUCAGGACUGCUGGAAAAUAAAUCCUUUAAAAUAGU